ensembl:lncRNA
AAUAAAUGCUCUUCAUAGUGCAAAGAAGUGUUAUGCACACAGAGAAUAAAAAACAUUUCCUGUUGAGCUACAGCAGAUAACUACAGAUUUAAAGUGUUGCUGCUAUCAGUUGAGACAGUGGAGCAGUAGAGAGCUGUAAGACAGGAACAGGUGGUUUGCACACCUUGUUUCAACCACUCUUUUUCCUUCUCUUGUGUUUUUAUAUUCUCUCUUUGUAUUUUCUCUUCUCCUGAGCACUAUGUAAUCUGCCAGCACUUCCUACCCUGCACUUAGACCUGAAGCCCCUGCCAUCAGUUGGUUGUGCUCUGCACUGGGCCUUCAUCACUUCUUCCUCAUUAGUACAACCUCAAGGCAUCUUCUGACUGUCUUACUACUCAGUAAAACUGCUGUUACCUAAAUAAUUUCAGUCAAGAAUGGAAAUGUGAACUGGCCAGAGAGGCAAAGGCACUAUUCUUUGAGGACUGUUUUAAAUAGCAUGUAGCUUCCUCAAAUGUCCUUUAAAAAUCCAUAAAAAAUCCUCAUAACACCAUUAUGAGGCACUUUCCAAGAAAUUAAUCAAAUCAGAAAGUACUGAGAUCCUUUUAAUUUAGGCAUCAUUGAAGAUUUAUUCACAAGCAAGCCACCAUCUUUACUGGCAUACUUAGAGCAUGCCCCAGCACAGAGGCUUGCUGUGCCUGCCAUCACUUUCCAGCCUCAGAGAACUGACAUCUCAAGGCUUCAGUACUUCAGAUAUUUAAACACACUCAAGACAGUCCCAGCACAAUGUGAAAUGAGAACAGUGUAAAUUUAUUCAUUAUGUUUUUGCAAGACUCAGGCAAAAAUAGUUUCAAGAUAAUUAGUAAGAUUUUUUUCAAAAUUAUUUGUUCCGAAAUAAUUAAUGUCGGGGGGCCAGUGACUGGGGAGGCCUCAGUAAGUGCCAGCCUGUGCCAGCCCCAGAUGAGACCAUGCCUGGCUGCAGUGCAGCACCAGGAGCCAGGGCAGGUGUGUGAGUGUGUGGGUGCUGGGAAAAGUCUGGACAGAUGUGGUGAUGAGCAGGGGACAAGGAGAGAACACAGGAAGGCUUCUUCAAGGACAAGUCCCUGGGCUGGGUGACUACUGCAGCCCAGGGAAAUAAAUUGUAGUCGUGGGUGGGUGAGUGGAACACAACUGCCCCAGGCCAGAAAUGGGAAAUCAAGUGAGGCCAGUGGUGCUGCCUGAGCUCACGUGAGUGUGAGCGUGUCUGGCUGCUCAUCCAUGCAGCCAGCUGUGUCCAUGUGUGCAUGGGGUGUUCUUGUGUUCUGUCUGCCUGCUAGGAAAAGCUGCUCAGCCUUGUCACUGCCUGCAGCUGGGACAGAGACUGGGCAGCCUCACCUCUGUUGGCUGCUAGAUUCAAGAACACUAUCAGGUACUCUGUAGCUUGGCACUAAAGGUAAAAAAUAGAUGGAAAAUGGCAGCUAAAUUACAAAACUUAUAUGGAUUUUCUUUAAAUACAGAUCUAUUCAAACCCUGCAAUUUUUGUCUGUGACCAGUGUAGGACCUUCAUGGAAUCCCUCUCACAUGAGAUGCUUGAAUGCAAGUAAUAACCUUAAAUUCUGAUGCAGACAUUCACAAGGUGACUGGAACUUCAUCAAUCUAUAAAACAUUCUAAAUUCAGACCUUCUAGCUGCAGGAUAUAUAUUCAUUGAUUGUGCUGAUGAAAUUACAAGGUGGUGUUUUUAAAGUCUCAGAUUAGUACUAUGAGAGUCAAGUGUAGCUUUUUGGACCAUUUUCUACAUAUAUUUAAGUCUGUAUCCAGUACUCAACUGAAAUAAAAUUUUCCUAAAGGUUAAAGAUUAAUAUUACUAUUCUGCAAGAAAUUCAGAAACAAUUCUGCCAUAAUGCUAGCUUUGCUGUGUACCAGAGCAAAAUAUCUUAAUUGCUGGUUUGUGAAAUUUUUAUUUUAACAAAGUUCAAGAAGCUGAAAUGUAUAUUGUACAUUAACUGGAUUAUGCUGCCAUUAAAAAUUGAGAAAAAGGUAUUUCAUGUUCUCUUUUUAAUACUGAAUUGCCCAACAAUGCCAAUAAAUCAGUAUUCACUAAGGUUAAUGGAGAAAUAAAACAGGGAAUAAUAUUCUCUGUGUAGGAAAUACUUUUUUUUUUUUUUUUUUUAAAAAAAGGCUUUUAAUACUUAAAAAAAAUACAAUGUAUAACACUAUCAAUUUAGUGACAGUGGUUAGUAGAGACAAAAAAAUAAUAAGGCCAUAAUAACACUUUCAAGGCUACAGCUUGACUGUGCUUCCUUCUGACACAACAAUAAGUUCUUAAUUAAAAGCAACUAGAUUAUAUGAAAAUGGUUUAUCCCUUUUCCUUUGAAAAUAUAGAUUAUAUCCCAGUAAAGCAAAGAUCUUUGCAUACUCUUCUUCCUUUGUAUUUGCAGACUCAUCAAAAUGAAGGAAAGAAAAUGCAUCAAAAAGAGAGGAAAGCAAUGCAAGUCCUAUACCAGAUUUGAAAUAUGUAAAAGGUAGUGUUGAAAAAAUUUUGCAGAGAGUAAGGCCCUAGAUUUUAAAAUUCUGCACUAAAGGUAGACUUAGUACCCUUGAAAAAAGACUAUUCUUCAUAGAUGCAAACUUAUUCUGCAAAAGGAUAUCACUGACAACAGGUUGGAUUUUAUUUUUCUACUUUUCUAAGAUAAAGUAAAAUAAAUUGAGGCUUUAGGUAAACAUCACUGUUACAGUUGCUUAGCAACAGCUGGUAGAACUAGAGUCCAUUGUACAGCUCAGGUAGAUAAAAGAGAAGUGCUUAUUUCAUUGUUUGUGAAAUACUCAAACAAUGAAAGAAAUUCUUUUCUGAGCUUCACUGGAACAGGUGCAACGCAACUGUAGGCAAACUACUCUGAGGAUUUCUUUACCUCUCUUCUGCCAGACUCCUGGAACAUACAGGAUAAUUGUCUGUACCAAAUCUGAUCACUUCAGCAUUGUCACCUUGACUUUCAUUUUUAUUGAUGCCUUUUAUUGAUGCCAGUUUCCCAGAUCACUUCACUGACAACCUUGCUCACAUGUCAGGAUCCUACAACAGCUUUUCUUUUUAUAAUCUUUGUCACAGGAUGCCUUCACCAUGAGGCUAAAAAGUGUACCAUAGUUCAAGCAGUUUGGUUUUAAACUACUACUAAAAAACUUAUUAUCAAAAGGCCCAGUUCUGAAGACCAGGAAAAAUCCAUUUGUCUCAUUGCAACUGCUCCAUGAACAUCAUUUACAUUAGCUACUUUCUCUUCCCCGAAAGUUAUUACUUUGUGCAUUACUUCUGUUAUCCAGAAGGCUUUCCAGCAUUUUUUCCUCUGUCCACACGUAACCAGUCCAGAGAGGUUUCAUAUUUGUUCAUCUCUGUUACUUAAUUCAUCCUUUCUCUGCAUUUAAAACAGGGUGGAGUCAGCUGAUAUCAACUGAGAAAGACAAAUAAUAUUUUCCAAAUUAAUGGCUAAAUCAGAGUGAGGAAAACUAAUGAGUGACAAUAAAUUUUUCAAUAGUCAUCAGAGAAGUUUUGUUUUCAAAGAUGGAAGACUUAUUUUUUAGAAUUUAAUUUGAAAAGAUCAGAUGACAUUACAUUAGGGUUUAAUGUUAAAACCAUCAUUUUGUUAAUAAAAGCACAUUUUGCAGAAAGAAUUUUAUCCAUGAUAUUAAAAAUUAUAUUUUAUGGAUCUAUUUCAAGAAAUCAGGAAACAUUCUUCUGGACAGGUGCAUUAUUUCUAUGCACAUAAAUUUGCUUCUGAUUUAGAUGUGAAUUUUAUAUAUAGCAGAAUAUUUGCUCUAUGCAAUACAUAAUGAAAAAUUAAAAUUGUGGCAGAAGGCAGUAUUGCAGCAUUAGCAAAGUUAAAUAUAAUCAAAAUACAGGUAAAAGGGCAACACAUGCAGGCAUAAAACAGAAAUUUACACACACAAAACAUAUAUAAACUAUGACUUUCAUUAUCACCAAAGUUGGAAUGAUGCAGCAUACACAGAGUCCCAUGAAAUUAUAAAAUCAAAGUACAGCUGUGUGAGGCAUUCAUGAAUGGAACUGAAAGGAUGUUUUCUAAUAAUCUUAAUCACAGGAAAUUUAGUACCUUAUGUUUUGUGUCAUACAUAUAUGGUUAUUACACAGUAUUAAAGUAAUUUGUUAUUUAAGUGGGGCAAUGGGGUGGCAGGAAGGGUGAUGCAGCUGCUGUGCCUGAGUCACAAUGUCAGUAGCUAAGAUUUAUGCACAGCUAUUUCAGACUGGAGUAGUUAACCACCAUCUUGCAGCAUCAGUAACACUCACAACUGAAUGAGUAACUGUGGGUCUGAUUCAGCAUUGCUCCAAUCCUUUGGCCUUAUCUACAUGAAUUCAAAAUGGUGCCAAAGUGCUGCUAGCCUGAUUUGGUGCCCCCAGCUCAUACUGGAGUAAAAUGAGUAAGGAAUAAGAUAUUUUUCUGUUUCAUCACAAGAUCUAGUUUUACUUCUCCCACAUGAAAUAGAAUGUUUCAGUGUUAGGUUUUCCACUGUGUAUAUCUCAAUCAAGUAUUUAUAUUUGUAAAUAAUAGCAAUUAAUGUUGUGAAGGGUACGAAAAAUGCAAUCAGCAUUGGCUUUAAGGUACAGCUGAUUAGAAUAAUAUAUUAAAAAUAGUGUAUAUAUAAUGUGUCUAUUUACUCAUUAAACACCAUCAGCCCAUGCAAAUGAUUCAGAUACGCUACAGAAAUAAAAGUAGAAUUCAAAUAAAUUAAGAGACUUAGAUGAUAGUACAAACUGAAACUAUGCAAGAGGUUGUUUAUGAAUUAAAUUACUUCAUCUAACAGUGCAACACUCCAACUAUAGCACGCAAAAAUUUUUCAUGGAAUUAUGGUGGAUGAUGUUUCUAAAUACCAAAUUGAAAAAAAAUCACCCAAAUAUUCAAUUAUUGAUGAGAGAUAAAUGAUAUGAAAUUGAAGAAACUGAACUUAUUUCAGGCUUUUCAUGCAGCCUGUGCCCCCACAUACUGUGUCUACUUCACAACACUCAAGCACUAUUUCAGGGACUAGUCCUGAACUCAAUUUCUCAAAGGGAUUUUAAAUCUUUGAUUAAGGCAUAAUUGAAAUAUGCAGAAGAAAUCUACUCUUUGCAAGAAUAUUACAAGCAAAACGUUAUUAUGUUCACUUUAUGUGAAAUAAUGUACAAAAGGAAAAAGCUGUCUGCAUCACUGACUCAUCCUCAGGAACCCGUGUGACUGACAGGAAAUGCAGAGCCAGAAGCAGCACAGCAAGUAGAUGAUAUUCAUGUUGGCACUGCUAAAGCUGGUUGUGCCAGGGUGGGUGAAAUGUGGGCUGAUCUGCCAUGUCAGGGCUGAGUAUCUGCUGCAGAAUUGCUCUCAGAGCUGUGAGCUAUUCUAAUGUCCAUAGGCACUGCUUCCACAAAAUGAUAUGGAGAUUCUCUAGAAUAUUUUUAAUUUACCACUCACAUGAGAUGCCCUUAUGGUUCCAUGCAUAUUCUAAUGCAAACAAUUUUCUAAAAAAAAUUAAAAAUACAACAUUUUGUGCUCUUUCUCUAGGCCUAAAAUUGUUGGCUUUGAUGUUUGUGAUAAUCAAGUGACCUGACUUUAAAUAAAAUAGUUGAGGUAUGGGGGUGAUGAGAGGUGGAAGGCAUUGGUCCUGUGAUCCUAGCCUUUCUGAACAGAAGCAGUUUAUCUGACUGCGGAAGUGUCCAGGUGUGUUAUUAUACACCCACUGAAGUCAAUGCCAAGACCCCAGUGACAGAAGAAUCUACUUUGUAAUUACAGACUCUAAUAAUAUAUGUGUUGCUUCCAGGAGAAAAAAAUCACAAUGAGAGGCUCUUGGAAUGUCUCAACAGAAGUGCACAUGCCUCUGGGAGACUGCACAUGGCCCUUGACAAGAGCAGGAUAAAAGCUAAAAUAUUGGCUUUCACUUAUGUUACAUCAGACUGCAUUGUGUCAUGCUGUCUCACAUCUCACCUGACUGGCACAUUUCUAUUACAAAACAUAAAAACACAGGGAAAACACCAGUGAUUUGAAAACAUGUUUAUGCUAACUGAGGUGAAUAGUCAAUUAGCAGAUAACAUAAGACAAGCUCUACUUAGUUAGAAGAUUCUUGUCCCUAAGAAUAAAAAGCAUUUUCAACUCCACAAUUUUUUUACAACUAUACAUUAUUAAUUCAAUGAGCACUGUAAUAGUCAUUAAACUACAGCUGUGUAAUUUACUCUUGAAAAUCUGAAAGUGCUCACUUCUGUCAUGCCCUUAACCCAUCUGACUCCCAGUUCACCCUUCUAUCUAUAAUUUUCCUUAUUCAGAGAGGAACAUGAUUAUUUGUAUGUGAAAAACACUGAACAUGUGGCUCCUGUGGUAGAAAUUCUAAAAUUAAAUGUUCACAUUGGCUUGCAGGACAGACAGCAAAAUGUUGUGUGAUGCUUCAGCUAUAUUACUGACUAAAUUGAUUAUUUACUUUAGCUGCAACCAUAACAUCUUCUUUCUGUAAUGGCACCCUAUACUGAAGCUGUGUAAGUCAAGGUAUGGCCAUGAGCUGCAGUCAUCCAGAUCAUACAAACAAUGUUCUUACAAUUUCACAGAAAAAAAAAAUCUGAAGUAGUAGUGUAUUUUGAAAAAAAAUUUAAGAUUUGCAGCAUUGUACAGUUUAUAAACAAAAUCUGGCCAUGAAAUACCACAUCUAUUAUAUAUAAAAUUAUUACAAAAUUCAGCAAAUAGUGUUUGCAAUCCCUGUCAUUCGACAUAACAAGUAUUUUCCCAUGUUUACUUUUAUAAAGUGUUUAUUCUGUAGGCUAUAAAACCAACUGGAGCCAGCAGACAGAACAUCAAAGGUCACACAUAAAAGUAUUACCACAUGGAAUUAAAGUACUUGAAGAACAAGACACACACCCCACACAUUUCCCUCAAUUUGGGCGAUUCAUAAAAAAAAAUCAUCAUCAACAAACAGGUCUAUUAUUAAAUAUCUGACUUAUCUCAGUUAUUUAUCUUCUGCCCUCUUUAAGCCAGCUGUCUUUGUGUCACACUGCAGAUUCUCAGAUGAUACAAGCUGGCGUGUCUUCACCAGCUACAUCACAUCAGAUCAGCUGUAACACUAGCUGAAUUUGCAACUCAUACAACGGAUUCUAUCUCCUUCAUUCCUUCCUUCAUGCCUUCCUUCCAUUUUCAAAUGCUUUUUUGGCAAAGGCAUUUUAUUAUUUACUCUAUAAUCUGAUCUUCUAAAUUAUACUCUACCAAUUACUUUGUUAUUUCUAUGCUUCUGAGACAAGCCCCUGUAUACAUGGCUAGUAAUCAAAGCAAGUGCAGGGAAGAGGUCUGUUUACUGCAUUUGUUAAGUCUUUUUCCAGACUAUUUGUGUAUUUAGUUGCAUGAUGGAUUGAAUAGAUAUUGAAUUUAGCUGCAAUUUCACUUGCUUUUGCUAUGUGAAGAGCGCAGGGAGACUGUGAUACUGAGAAAUUCCAUUUUGGCACAGGUACAGUAAAGCUGUGUCCAAGGCCAUCUGAAUUUUGCACACAAAGCAGUGGGUUCCAAGCUACCUAUUAGAACUCAGGAGAACAAUCGUGAAGUAGCUGGACUGUUGGAGUAAUUUGUUCACAAAACCAUGAGAGUCAAAAGUCAUCAGAAUACUUAAAAUUAUUAGAGGAAAAAUGAGAACUGUCAUUAAACCCUGCUUAAGUUUACUGACUAAUCAGCAAUAUGUACAAAAGUUCAAACCUACUAUCUUAUCAGAAAAGGUAUAAACAGGAAUUAUAAGGACGAUUAAAAGCAGGAAACAGGUUCUGCACAGGGAGCCUAAAUAGACUGAUUUUUUAGUCUGCAAAAAUGAUUGCUGAGGGAAAUGUGGGAGAGGUCCAUGUCAUGACAGGGUAAGAAAAAGUAUUCUGCUGUCCUGUUUUUCAUUUCUGUUUUCACUCCCCAGAAAACUCCUUCUGCUGAUAAGUUCAAACCAAAAGGAGAUAUAUUUUUCACCUAGUAUAUAAAUAAACAGUGGAACUAAUUUCAGUAAGAAAGCAGUUAGACUAGCAAAAGGGAAAUCAGCAAAAGCAAAAAAAAAAAAAAAAAAAAAAAA